ensembl:lncRNA
GUAAGAGGCGGCUUUGUUAUCUCUGUUUUAUAAUUAACCUUUAUUACUUACCAAGAUAAAAUUAAAUUAUACUAACAUACUGUUUUGUCUAAGCAAAGUAUCUGAUCGCAUGGCCUGUCCUGUCUGUUUGUUGAUGCGAUCCUCUUGGAGCAGAUGCUUAUAAACAUGUAGACAUUUAAAAACGUAUUGUACCAUUUGGAUAUGUCACACGAGAAGUCUUUAAACUUUGAAUUAAUCACAGAAAACAUAAUGAAUUUAGAAUUAUGUCAGAUUUCAUAAAGUACUGCGAUUUUUUACAUUCUCUUACAUUUACUAUAAUCUACUGAUCAGUCCAACUUCUCUUAGAACUAACAGAUAAAACCAACAUUUCUUCUUUAGAUUGAUUCAUCACACCACAUGAAUAACAUUGAUACCAUUUAUUAAAAUAUAAGAUUCUGGUUUAAAAUAAACUGACCAUGGUCCUUCUACCUGCCCUGCUUAUUCUCUGGGGUGAGUAUUUAAUUUUACCUGUUUGAGAAGCGUUGCAUAGCAAAAAAUUCAUCUUAUUCCUCACUCACCACAUGUUAAUGCAUAUUAAAAACACAUCAGUAAUUUUCUUAUUAUUUUAUUAAGGCAUUGUAGAUUUAUUUAAUUCUUAAGUUAGAAAGUCCUAGACAAGAACUAUUCUACAGUGUGUGUGUGUGUGUGUGUGUGUGUGUAUUUAUAUAUAUAUAUAUAUAUUCAAAUGAAUUGUUCAAGUCAAAGUUGAACAAGUGUAAAUGUUUUUGAAAGAAAUUAAUUUUCUUCCAGUCAAGAUGUCAAUAGUAUUUCACUACAAACUGACUCUCUUUUCUCAGCUGUUCCCCUUUCAAGUGGUACAGGUCAACUAAGAAAAUUCUACUUAAAAACAAAUGCAGAUAAAUGAUGCACUGAAUGCUUGUAGAUGUAACUACACUGACCUCGUCACAAACUAUGAUGACAAUGACAAUGGAUCUACAGUAUGUAUAGUGGCUGGAUUGGAGUCAACAGCUGUACAUGGUGAUCCAGUCACAUUCAACAACAUCACCAGAAAUUUUACUGAGGAAAGCUGCUGUGGUGCACUAACCACUGAUGGAACAUGCGGGUGUUUCAAAUAGUUCAAAAAUGCUUCAUGUGUUAUAAACUACUUUACUGUCUAUCUUAUAAAUAUCCAAAGAUUAUGAGUAAAACUAGUGUCUAUUCUUGCAUUCAUACAGAUUGGCAACAAUCAUUCAACUAUAGUUUAAUCCCUAAAAAUAAAACCUGGUUUGAGGCUCAGCAGCACUGCAGAAAGAAUCACACUGAUUUAGUCAGUAUCAGAAAUCAGAGGAAAAAUUAACGAGUGAAUGAAGCAGUAAAUUGGAGUAACUCUAUCUAGAUUGGCCUUCGGUAUAAUUACAGCCUUGCAUGUUUUACUGGAUGGACAUUCUGGUUACAAAAAAAUACAUAUUGUGAGACGAGAAACUAAGCAUACAGGAUGCUUUACAUUUCUCUCAAAACAACCACCGGAAUCUUGGUCCAUAAGUAAUCUGAAUACCUGUGGUGCUCUUUGAUACAGAAGAAAGCUUCAUUCAUGUCAGUUCUUAUAAAAUGUCCUGGGAGGAAGCUCUGGAUUACUGCAACAGCAACUUUUCUGGACUAUUGCGCAUCGAGUCUCAGGAUGAUCAGAUAGAAACAGAGUGAGAGCUCAAAAGAUCUAAAAAUAAUAUUUCAGAGCCUGUGUGGGUGGGGCUUAGACAGAGCCGACCUUUCUGAUUCACUAGAAGCUAGUUGGUAUUGCUGUACUUACCUGUAGUGUUUCUGUUGCUUUUUUCAUGUUUAUCUCAUUGAUUGAUUCAUUUUAUUAUUUUGUUGUAAACCUUUAUGCCUCAUACCAAGAAUUAACAUUAAAAGUUGUUCAUG